rnacentral:misc_RNA from 1 species
GAUGAAGAACGUAGCGAAAUGCGAUAAGUAAUGCGAAUUGCAGAAUUCAGUGAAUCAUCGAAUCUUUAAACGCACAUUGCGCCCGCCAGUAUUCAGGCGGGCAUGCCUGUCUGAGCGUCGUUUCGACCCUCGCGCCCGGCUUCUGUCGGGGGCGGUGUUGGGGAUCGGCCACACCCUUCAGUGGGAGGCCGGCCCCUAAAUUCAGUGGCGACCACGCUGUAGCCUCCCCUGCGUAGUACUAAAACCACCUCGCAGGCGGAGAGCGGUGCGGCCCGCCGUAAAACCCCCCAACUUUUACAAGGUCGACCUCAGAUCAGGUAGGAAUACCCGCUGAACUUAAGCAUAUCAAUAAGCGGAGGA